AUUGAACGCUGGCGGCAGGCCUAACACAUGCAAGUCGAGCGGAUGAAGGGAGCUUGCUCCUGGAUUCAGCGGCGGACGGGUGAGUAAUGCCUAGGAAUCUGCCUGGUAGUGGGGGAUAACGUCCGGAAACGGGCGCUAAUACCGCAUACGUCCUGAGGGAGAAAGUGGGGGAUCUUCGGACCUCACGCUAUCAGAUGAGCCUAGGUCGGAUUAGCUAGUUGGUGGGGUAAAGGCCUACCAAGGCGACGAUCCGUAACUGGUCUGAGAGGAUGAUCAGUCACACGGGAACUGAGACACGGUCCAGACUCCUACGGGAGGCAGCAGUGGGGAAUAUUGGACAAUGGGCAAAAGCCUGAUCCAGCCAUGCCGCGUGUGUGAAGAAGGUCUUCGGAUUGUAAAGCACUUUAAGUUGGGAGGAAGGGCAGUAAGUUAAUACCUUGCUGUUUUGACGUUACCAACAGAAUAAGCACCGGCUAACUUCGUG
rnacentral:rRNA from 1 species